GUGCUUGCUUCGGCAGCACUUAUACUAAAAUUGGAAGAAUACAGAGAAGAUUAGCACGGCCCCUGUGCAAGGAUGACACACAAAUUCAUGAAGCAUUCCAUAUUUAA
ensembl:snRNA U6 U6 spliceosomal RNA